GCAGCAUGAGCGAGUUCUGCCUAUUCCACACCGGCGUUAACAAUCCUUCACUAGCUUUUCUUCCCGACUCUGCUUAUUUAUCCAUCGGUAGCAUGACGGGUAAUUGACGCCCUCGGAUGGCUUUGAGGUCGCCAUUUUUGGUUGGUGCCUUUGUCAUGGUAUCAGGACCGGGAUAUCAUCUGGGACACAUUACCCCACAGGUAUCCUGUUGAACCUCAGCGAGGAAGUUGGCAACACAGGAACCGGGAGAUGAGACAGAUCGGUUGGUUGUGCCUGUGAACUGGCAAUUCAGUAAUAACAAUUGAGUGCUGACUGUUUGCCAGGAAUUGUCCUAAUCCGCUUACCUCCGUUACGCCAUUUAGUCAUUUAGAGGAGACCUGUGAGAGAUUAAGCAAAGUUCUAGCUAUUAAGUGCAGAGCCUCAGCUUGAACUCAGACCUCACUACUAAGCCAAAGCCUGUCCUGUAGCAUUCUCUAAUGCUUUCAGUUUUUCGGCUGUCAAAUGAUUGUUAGGUACCUACAGCCGCUGAGAGCCUGUAUUCCAAACCCAUGAGACGCCUUAUGUCGUGAGCAGUUGACAAGAGAGACCCAGCACUUACUGCAACCGGAAGGAGUGAUUCCUCCCUCGCUUGCUCAGCCGCUCUUCCCCGCCACUCCCUCGGCGCCCGUCAGCACCUUCCCAGCAAGCCCUGCUUAUAUUUGCAUAUCGACUCACGUCCUUUUCUUCUAAGUAAAAAUGGAAAGGACAAGUUCUAGAUUCUCCUUGUGAAGUCUUCCUUUCAGUUCAGAAGAAAUGAAAUUCGCUCUCCAACUUCAGGAAAUUGAAAUAAAGAGUUGCUUGGAUUUUGUGUUCACCUUUACCAAAAAAUGGAUUUGCUAACACUGCCACCCCGCUUUGGUAGUAAAUGAAGCAAAAAGGGCUUCUGUCGUGAGUGGCACACGUAGGGCAACUCGAUUGCUCUGCGUGCGGAAUCGACAUCAAGAGAUUUCGGAAGCAUAAUUUUUUGAUAUUCGGGCAGCUGGUGAUCGUUGGUCCCGG